UAAAGAUUCAUUCUUCGUUAAACUCUUAGCAUGGAGUCCAAAAAUUUGGAAAACAACGUAUCUAAUGAUAUUUGGGCAAAACUGGAGGUACUUAUUGUAUAGUUUAUGCUCCUUUUUCCCGUUUUUUAAAUGUCCUAGGGUUUUUGAUAUGUUAGUGAUGUAUCUUGAUUACUUUUUAAACCCUUUACUUAUUCCCUAAAAAAAACCCUUAAGAAUCCACUCAUAUUCUCAUAAUAACAACCAACCCCUCAAAAUUUGGAUCUUCCCCCAAAACCAUCUGGAUAACCGAAUUCAAACUUUCAAACUACAAACCUAAUUCAAACAAGCUGAGCUACACAAUAUAAUACCCAUAAUUUAUAAAGGGAAAACUCAUACAAAUAAAAAAAAAAUCAACCAAAAAAAAAUAAAAAUAAACGUACUUGUAAGGGACCCUAACCGCAGAUAGAGGAAUUGCCGAUGAUAGUUCAACUUCCGGCCAGCAAGCAACUCUCCAGGUAUACUUCUUUUUCUCCUCUUGUUCUUCUUCAAAUCUUCUUUACUGUUGCAGUUUUGCUCGAAUUUUUGCAGGUGGGGAAAUUGUUGCGAUGCGGUGUGAUUCGAUGAAUCUGAUGUUGCGGAUCUGCAGGUUCUGUACGACGCGGUUGCGUCAUGUUGAUGCUGUGUUCGGUUUUGUUACUUGAAGAAGAUGAUUCGGUUGGAUUGUUGUUGUUGUUGUUUUGUUGUAGAGCUGUGGAUGAAGAUUCGUGUUCAGGUUGUUGUUGAUUGCGAUUGAGGUUAACUUGUGUGUGGGUGAGUUAUGGCAGUGAGUAUUCUGAAUGAAAUUAUGGGAAGGUUGGAGGUUAGGUUGCGGUGUUGUUUUGCUGUGAGGGAUUGGUGCAUGUUGUGUUGAGCUUGAGUGUUCGUUCGAGUGAAGCGAGUUGGGGAUAGUGACACGGUUUGGAAGGUUUUUGUUAUGCCAUUUUUGUGUAAUUUUUGGAUUGUUUGGGACAGCAUAGUGGCAAAGGUUUGGACAUUAUCGCGGACUGUUUUUGUGCAGGUUGGGGCAGCAUUGGUUUUGGAGUUUUGUGGACAGCAUUUGAAAUAAUUUGAGACACUGUUAUAUUGCUUUUUGAUGCAGGUUUUUUUUAUGCCAUUUUUGUGUAAUUUUUGGACUGUUUGAGACAGCAUAAUGGCAAACGUUUGGCCAGUAUUGUGGACUGUUUUUGUGCAGACUGGGGCAGCAUUGGUUUUGGAGUUUUGUGGACACAAUUUGGAGGGAUUGAUGGAAUUUGAAGACUAGGCUUGAAGCAUAGGUUUAAGUCUUGAUUUUCAUGUAACUUCUUUGUAAUUAUGAAUUCAAUAUUCCAAAAAAAAAAAUGAUGGCAUAGAUUUGUAAUGAAUCUUGAAAGAAAUUUGAAAGAAAUAGUGGGAAGUUAUUUGAAACCCAUGAUUUCGGGUAGAACUUAUUUGAAUGAACUUUGAAUUGAAUGAAAUCUUGAAAUUUGCUUGACUUGUAUUGAUGUGAACUUGAAUAAAUGAUUAAUGAGUUUGAUCUUGAA